GCACCCGUAGCUCAGCAGGAUAGAGCAUCAGAUUCCUAAUCUGAGGGCCAUGGGUUCGAAUCCCGUCGGGUGCACCA
rnacentral:tRNA from 29 species